CGGGAAAGGUAAAAGGAUUCAGUGAAGUACGUUCGACUCCUCGAAUAAGAGUCGAAGCAGAAAGGGAGUUGAGCCGGGUUCGACGCCUCGAAUAAAGGGGUCGAGGCAGGAAGAGUUGAGCUGAAGAGAAAUGACACGGAGUGAAUGUAAGGGAGAGGGAGUUAGUUACCUUCCAACCCAUAUAUCAAGCAGUACAACAAGAGCAGCGAGAACAAGUAUAACCAGAACAAUAGCAGGCUCGAACAGUUGCAUUAAGAGCCUCGCUUUCUCAAGUAAGGUAUUUAUUAAGUGUAGCUUUCCUUGCCAGUGUUAGUUAUACGUUAUUAAUAUACCGAGAAGGCGUUACGCUGCGAGAGAAUACCAAUCACAACUAAAGGAGUGUAUGACAGUAAGACUUCUGAGCUCUAGCACCGAGGUAAAUACAGUGCACCGAGGUGCAUACAGUGAGUGACUGAGCACAUAAGCAAACAUGGUGUAUUGUGGAGCAUGGCAUUGGACUACUCAAGCCAAGGUUCCGUGUUCUCCAGGGAGAAGUUUGCUUGAACCCAUCAAAGACCUGCCAAGUGAUCACUGCAUGUGGAAUUCUUCAUAACAUAUACAUGAGAUCUAAGUGGUCACUGCCAAGCCCUUUCUUCUGCUUCGGCUGGUGUGGAACUGUCCCUGAGACCAUCAAGUACUUCCUCCCUCACCAUUAAGCCUGCUUAUCUUCCUGCUGGUGGCCUCCCUCCCACCAUAACCUGCUGCUGUCCUGCCUCACCUGUGCCUGACUGAGGAAGACCUGUAAGCUGCUGGCAGACCUGUCAUACUCCUGCAGGACUACCUGAGGGCUCAUAAGUAGCAACACAUCUUCACAGAAGAAAACUUUCAAUAUAUGUAUUUUUCAUAUUUGUCAUUAGGAUAAUAAAGUACAAAUGAUGUUUGA